rnacentral:lncRNA from 1 species
GUCUGUUUUUCUUAGACUAUAAGCAAUACAUGUAGGUCAACUAUAUUUGUUGUAUGGAAGAAUUGUUAGCUGUACAUGCCUGCAUGACAUGGUUCAUCUGACCUUGAUCUUGAGGCUUUAACCUGGGUAGUGGCAGUGAUGCACUUGUUUACAAUUUGACUCUCUGUGGAGCAUACCAACCUAAAUGUAGAAGAAUUGAUUAUUUCGUUAUGGAGAGCAUCGUGUAGUGUAUGCGUCACACCACCACUUCACUAUUGGUU